rnacentral:rRNA from 1 species
AGUGAACGCUGGCGGUAGGCCUAACACAUGCAAGUCGAACGGCAGCACAGUAAGAGCUUGCUCUUACGGGUGGCGAGUGGCGGACGGGUGAGGAAUACAUCGGAAUCUACUUUUUCGUGGGGGAUAACGUAGGGAAACUUACGCUAAUACCGCAUACGACCUACGGGUGAAAGCAGGGGAUCUUCGGACCUUGCGCGAUUGAAUGAGCCGAUGUCGGAUUAGCUAGUUGGCGGGGUAAAGGCCCACCAAGGCGACGAUCCGUAGCUGGUCUGAGAGGAUGAGCAGCCACACUGGAACUGAGACAGGGUCAAGAUGACGACGGGAGGCAGCAGUGGGGAAUACUGGAAAAGGGGCGCAAGCCUGAUCCAGCAAUACCGCGUGUGUGAAGAAGGACAGAGGGUGGUAAAGCCCUGUUCUUGGGAAAGAAAAGCAGCAAGAGAAAAACCCGCCGAGCUGACGGUACCCAAAGAAUAAGCACCGGCUAACUUCGGC